rnacentral:lncRNA from 1 species
GAAAAAGGUUCCGGCCUCAGCCGGCGCACCUGGCGGAGGAGGAACCUCGCGACGCGCUCUCGGGCAUCGGUUUCUCCCAGCAAAGCUUGGAGGGUUUAGCUGCGCGGAGAGCUCAGCGAGCUCUUCUGUGUCUGUUUGGGGCGUGUGGGCUCCGGGAGCGUGAGGACCGGGAAGCUAGGAGGCUCCUUCCCUUCUGGCGGCUCCCUCACUGAGACCGGGCGGUUUGGUUGCGGGGGAAGUGGAGACGAGCCGCCCUUGACCUUUGACUGCAAGAACUCGCCUUGAGCAGGAUAGAGGCACGUGGACGGUGACCCUCGGGAUGCAAUAAAUGCUGAGACAGAUCAGGUGUGCAAGGCACAGAGCUAGAGGCCAGAGGCCUUUCUUCUCCAACCUUCAGUCACCUCUUUUUAAAGUGAAGCCAGCAUCCUCCUCGGGGUUUACUGUGAAAAUUAAGUGAGCUGACGCGUGCUGUGUUUUGAUGUUGCUUGGCUCCUACAAACAUUGAGUGGGCCAGACACUGUUCUGAAAAAUACGCAGUCGACUUUUGAACAGCACAGGCUUGAACUGCAUGCGGCCACUAAUACUCGGACUUUCUUCUGCCUUUGCCACCCCUAAGACAGCAAGACCCACCCCUCCUG